rnacentral:lncRNA from 1 species
CGAAAGGACACGUAGUUUUGAAUAAAAAGGCGACACACCUUCACUCAGAGUGGAUGUGAAACCGGAUGAGGCUCCGCUGGUCUUCAAGACGAGCGCGUUGGCCAACUAUCUGAAAUAUAUGUAACAUUUCCCCCAAAACUGUCGAGACGAACAGAAAAUGUAAGGAAACUGUUUUUUUAUAGGUUUAAAAUUGAUCGGCUUCAGAGCGCUCGUGUCGUUAGUCAAGUCGAGAGUGCAGAUAACGGAUUAAAAUAUCAGUCGACAGGCGAGAUGUAAACAUACUCGUAGGAAAAACAGCAAUAUUACUGUGUCAGGGCUUAAAGACACUUUGUAACAAAACAAAACAACAUAACGCACACAUAUUAAUUUACUGCUGUAUCAUCUGUCGCAGUUGCACCGAUCGACCGUUGGAAUUAAAAUUUUUAACCCAACUGGUUGCGUUAUAGAAAUAACCCAAUAAACAUAGGAGUAACCCAACAAAACGACCCAACAUGUUAACCCAGAUAUUGGGUACAGUAGGUGCUUUCACUCUUACAGCACAAGCUCCUGUCAUCAGCCGUUUGCUUACCUUGAUUCGUUGACCACAAAAUAUCACCUUUAGACUUUGAGCGGCCCGUUUCUUCAUGAAAGAGUGAUCGAUGAACAGCUUGUGCAUGUGAUGACAGGUUUCGCUGUUACUCAGACUCAGUAUUAAAUCUGUCAGAGCUGUGGCUGACGUGUGUGCGUGUGUGCGUGUGUGUGUGUGUGUGCGUGUGUGCGUGUGUGUGUGUGUGAGAGGGUUUGUGUGUGUGUGUGUGUGUGAGAGGGUUUGUUUGUGUGUGUGUGUGUGUGAGAGGGUUUGUUUGUGUGUGUGGUUUUUUACUUUUAAGCUAACUAGCUUCUUUACUGUUCUGCUCAGGAACUCCUAUCAAUAAGCGACCGGUGCUGGGCUACAGGAACCUGAAUCUUUUUAAACUCUACCGGCUGGUGCAUAAGCUCGGAGGAUUUGACAAUAUCGAGAUCGGAUCUGUCUGGAAGCAGGUGUAUCAGGAUCUGGGCAUCCCCGUGCUCAACUCCGCAGCCGGUUACAACGUCAAAUGCACCUACAGAAAGUACGUACAUCCUUCAUCAGCCCCUUUCCCAGGGAGACAAUGACAGCGACAGUAAACCGCAAGCUGCUCUUAGUUAUUGUAAAAAAGCUUGCAAAGAACAAGCACUGAAUGCAUCUGUUCUGUCUGUUAGCGCAGAGCUGUUGCAAAAACUGGCACACGUCUUCUAUCCAGAGUUAUCGUUGUUGUUGUUUACUACUAUUAAAACAGUUUUAUUAAUUGAAUUAAAGCUGUAAAUAUUAGAUGAAAACCUUCAGUUCAGUUAUUUGCCAAGGCAACAUUUAUAAUUUUUGUUUAGUUUAAGAAGCACU